rnacentral:misc_RNA from 1 species
GCAGCUCUUGCAUCCAGCCCUGAAGUUGGUUCGUCCAUGAAUAUAAUAGAGGGGUUCGCAACCAGUUCUACCGCAAUGGUCAACCUUUUGCGUUGCUCGGUUGAAAGACCAUUAACUCCUGGCAACCCUACUAAGGCAGAUCGUAAGGGUUCAAGCUCAACAAGUUCCAUAACUUCAUCAACAAACAUCUUUCUAGUUUUUUCGUCAACAUCCUUGGGUAAACGCAGCCAUGCUGAGUAAACCAGGGACUCAUACACUGUAACGUAAGGUGAAUGGAUGUCAUUCUGCUCACAGUAUCCAGAAAUACGAGCAAACGUCUCUUGCUUCUUGGGAUAGCCAGAAAUCUUGAUGUCGCCAUCUAUAUAUCCUCCUGUUUUUCUUCCAGCUAAAACAUCCAUUAAAGUUGUUUUACCAGCACCACUAACGCCCAUCAAAGCUGUGAGAACACCAGGCCUGAAAGCUCCACUCACACCCUUUAGAAGUACCAAUCUAUCUUCACCGGCACCUUGUUCUUUCAUUUCCUGAGGCAUGUCAACAGAGUAUACAACAUCGUCGAAGGUGAUAGAAUGGGGUUCAAACGGAAGAACCAUUCCCUUCUUCUUACUCUGACCCGCACUGACGAUAUCUCCUCCGUCUGUGCUAGUCAUCUGGGAUGCAGCUUGACCAUUUUCAGCAUUCCCACUGUCUUCUGGUCUCACUGUUUGCGACUUACCAUAUGGUUUGAGAUACGCCAACGAAAGACUGUAGAAGAAGUUGAAGACAACUGUAAAUCCAAAAAGUGCCGCGAAACCAAUCCAGUACCAGUAUGCAUCGGGAAAGAACCCUCGUGAUUUCACAACUGCAACUCCAAGGGGCUCGGUUCCAUUUGGUGCAAUGUGUUUCCACUUGCUCCCGUCAAAUUCAUUCACAAGGAUUGAGUUCACGGAAUACAUCAACGGUGAGAUCCAGUACCCCCAAAUCCACCAGCCUUUCACAUCCUCUCGUGAAAGAACGAAACCACACAAUGCAAACUGUAAAAGAAGAGCAAAUGCUCCAAAUGUACUUGCAACUCCCAUGGUCCUUCCAACUGCACCCAUGAAUCUAAACAAUCCUGAUGCCAUCUGGUUUACUAAUACGAGCAGCAUGAAUUGUUUCAGAAAUCUUGUAAUAUUAGGAUCAAAUCCAAUGACGUAGUACGUAAGGAUCACCCAAAGACCGACUUCAACAAGUGUUACGGGGAUUUUGAGGAUCCAUGACGGAAUUGCAUAAGCCCAUGAAGGGAAAAAGAGAAGGUCUCUUUGCUUGUAGAAGACCGGAAGCUUGAAAAUUGUCAUGGCCAUCUCAGACAUCCCGUUAAACAUAAUCAUAACCACCACGAAAAAGAGAGCCCCAGCGUAUAUGCCU